rnacentral:misc_RNA from 1 species
UAACCCCUCAAGCCUGGCUUGGUGUUGGGGCCUGCUGUUACCGGCAGCCCUUAAAAUCAGUGGCGGUGCCAUCUGGCUCUAAGCGUAGUAAUACUUCUCGCUACAGGGCCCUGUGGAUGCUUGUCAUCAACCCCUAAUUUUCUAU